rnacentral:lncRNA from 1 species
GGGAGACCUUGAGAGAGGCAGCUGCUGAGAACUCACACAGACCCAUGAUCACACAGGACCGAGACACUAAUGAAUAGAAUGUACAUUUGUUCCUGCUGUGUGAUUGUCCAUCUGUCUGUGCCUGGACAACCACUCCAUCCCCACUGGAUGCAGUAAACAGCACCACUGCCCACUGGCAUUGUGAACCUGGUGUCCAUCACUGAGCUCUGCUGGGGAUAGUCUAUGUGGCAGCUGCUGUAGCUCUUGCUCAGAGUGCUGGAUCCCAGAGUAUUGCAGAAGCCCAAGUGGCCAGACCUAGAGCAAGAGCCCAAAAUCAGAACCCUGCAAGCUGGAGACCAGCAGGCAUUACCAUCUGGGGCUCCCGUAGGAGCUGGCGGUGCCAGGCCACGCUGUCCACUCGACUCUGCUGCUUGUUCCAGUGCAUGAGGAGGUGACCUUAACUUCCAGACAAUGUGGCCAGAUGAGGGAACACAGACUGCAUGGAGGACCUUGGAAGAGUUUGCGGGGCACAGCCCUGCUGGCACAAAGCCUGACACAGAAGGACACAGACACCCCUGCACGGUGAACAGUGACUGAUACUUGUCAUUUACAAGCCUCUUCUUCAGCUCAUCCCCAUGUUGAAAGCAAGAGCUGCUGAGGGCAGUGGAUGUAGGAGUCUCUUCUGGGAGCUGAACCUUUGCAGGAGGCUGGACUAGCAGGGAGAGAUGCAGAGAACUGUGGGCACAGGACAGGGUCCACCGAUUGCGAAAGCAAGAAUGGAAUGAGAAGUAUGAGCAAUGGAUCGAUAUACUAGUCGAACUGAAAUAAGAUAUUGUCAGAACUAUUUGUCCAAGGAAAAUCAGAUGUUCACAACAGAAGUUACAUUCUGAGCUAGAUUUAUCAGAGCCUCCAGCCAGGAUCACUGCACCAGGCCUAGAGAGCAGAGGGAAGAUUUGUGUCUCACUUUCCCAUGGGCCUGGAGCCCUGUGUAAGCCUCAGAGCCACUGUGAAAUCCACUGCCCCUGUGCAGACCCCGAGACAGACCCAUUCUCAGGCUGCAGCACAGCAACGUGCAAAAUCCUUGCACAGGCCGACGCAUCUUUAGAUCCCAAGAUGUGGCUGGGAGCCUCAGAGCCCUGUUUCUUACUUGAGUCCAAGUAGAAGUUCACGAGAUAUUAGAUAGGGUUCCCUGGAUUCUGCCAGAACCAGUCACCGAUUUCUUCUGAUGGAAUCACUGAUUCAUUGUGGUGAUUAUCCAAGGGUGUAUAAAUAUCUUAAAACACACAAAAUUGGGCACUUUAAAUAUCAGGGGUUUAUUUUGUUAAUUAUUCCUCAAUAAAAAGACACAUAAAAAAUAGGCUGAAACAGACCCGGCAUGGUGGCUCACGCCUGUAAUCCCAGCACUUUGGGAGGCCGAGGUGGGCGGAUCACUUAAGGUCAGGAGAUCGAGACAAUCCUGUGAAUGGUGAAACCCCAUCCCUACUAAAAAUACAAAAAAUUAGCCGGGCAUGGUGGCGGGCGCCUGUAGUCCCAG